rnacentral:lncRNA from 1 species
AGGAUAUGUAUACGAAAGAGAAUGGUCUCAUGAAUCUAACUUGUUUAAAUUACAUAUUCCUUGGACUUAUCGUUUAAGCAUAUAACAUUGAUAUGAGACGGCUUAAAACAAUAAUCUAUGCCCUUGAUAUUAAACUAGAUUAGUUUAACAUGUGAAAUGUCCGUAAAGUAUCAUCAUAUGAUUGGUUUUAGGGCACAUUUCCAACAUAUCCAUCCACCACCACAAAUCACCACAAAAACCUUCAACCAUCCCUUGUGCCGCAGCAAAGAAGAAGGAAGGAGACCCUUGGACGUGCUUGCCAUUCAAGACGUUGGAUUGUUGGAGCGUUUCUAGGUGUUUUCAUUCUUUGUUUUCAAUGUCUAAAUUUAUGUAUCUUUGUUUUCCGUUUAUGAGGAACUAAGCCCUUCUUGGCUAGGGGGCUAUUCAAUACCAUGAUUAUACUUGCAUUAUGAAUUGAUUACCUUCAGUUGUUAUUUCAUAAGUUGUGAAUUCAAUUUGCUUAACCGUUUGAUUGAUAACUUAUUCUUGUAUGUUUAUUAAGAAUGCACACUUAGUUUUCAUGCAAGGAUUUGUAGCUAAAAUAUAAGGGAGUUUCACCUAAUAGUUACAAACUUAUAUUUGCAAGUAGUGGAGGUCGCUUAUAAACGAUCGUGUUAAGUGAAUUCUUGGCAAAAGUUUCAUGCUUUUCAUAGUUACAAUUGCCUUGUCAAUGUUUAUAGUUUUCAUGAAACUUAAUGAUCUUUGAUUGUACCUUUAUUGUGCUUUUCACGUAGGGGACUUUUAGAGAAUGCUUUGAAUUGUUGUAUGUCUUUUCCCAUCCAAUUCAUUAACUUAAGGAGAACUUGAAGGUUAAAAAAGUGUUGUCACAGUUAACCUGGAGUAUUGAGUUUCAUGACUUAUUGAGAGAAGCAAUUGGAAAUCAAUUUGAAUGCAAGUGUUUCAUGUGUGGAGAAGAACCUCUAGUUAGCCCAUAUCUCAUCAAUUCACCUAAAUUUGCUUAAGAAUCUGUUUAAAUUGUUCUUGUUUUAAUUUACUUAUUUUCGUCCAAAACCAAACCCCCUUUACUUUGUUAAGUCAUAUUAGUUAGAACUUGUCUUAGAUUGUGUUUUUAAGUGUUUUGAGCCUUUAGAAACCCAAAUUUCGUCCAAAUUGUGUUUAGAGCUCAAAACUGCCCAGUUUGUGUUUUUAGGUGAUGCGAAAUAUAUAAGCACAAAUUAAACCCUCUUUUUAUCAAUUGUAGCAAAGUAUGUAAGUAGGGAUCGUUCUAGGCGGGGGAUUAGGAGGGAUUGCCAAAUCACUUGAAAACUGACUCAAAACGUAAAAACAAAGUUUAAAACACUAAACUAGACUCAAAGAAUGCAAAACUAAACUAUAAAACACCAAACAAAGCAAAAGACUCAAAACAGCAAACAAACACUCAAAUCUACCUUAAAAACACUUUUUGGGCAGUUUUGAACACAAACACAAAAUUGGACGAAAAUAGGUUUAAACUUGAUUCAAGACACUUAAAAACACAAACUAAAUUGAUUUCUAACUAAUCUGACGCUUCAAAAUAAAUGGGGAUUUGGUUUUGACGAAAAUUAAAAACAAAAACAAAACUUGUAAAUUGAGCAGAUUCUAAAACGAAUUUGGUUGAAUUGAAGGGAUGGAAAACUAGCUAAGGGGUUUUUCUCCACACAUGUCACACUUGCAUAUAAAACGAUUUCUAAUUGCAAUUCAAUAAACCAUGAGUACUCAACACUCCAAGUUAAUUAGGUCCGCUUAAAUUAACUUUCAGAUUUCCCUUAUGUCAAUGAAUUGGACAGAAAAAGCGCAUCGCAAUCAAAUUAUUCCUCAAAAGUUCUCUAUAUGAAAGCGCAUAAUAAAGAUACAAUCAAAGAUCAUUACGUUCAAUGGAAAUCAUAAGUAUUGACGAGGCACUUGUAACUAUGAAAGCGCAUGAAACUUAUGCCAAGAAUUUACUUAACACAAUUGUGAUCAACAACUUUUACUACUUGUGAAUAUAAGUUCAUAACGAUUAGGUGAAAAUUUCUUAUAUCCUAGCAUUAGAUUUAUGCAUGAAAAUUAAGCGUGCACUCUCAAUCAACACACACAAAUCAGUUUAAUUUGAAUAGAUAAGCAAAUUGAAUCCACAACUUAUGAAACGCAAUUAGAAGUAAUCAAAUCAUAUAGAAGCAUAAACAUGGUUUCGAAUCCCCCCCUAGCCAAGGGGGGUUUAGUUCCUCAUACUCGCAAAGCAAAGAUACAUAAAUUUAGACAUUAAAAUCCAAAGAAAGAGAACACCUAAAACGCUCCAACUUCGCAGCAGGUGCAUCCACGAUUCCUCCUUCCUCCUUGCUGCGGCACAGAGACUUUGGACAGGUUCUUUGGGUUAUUAGAUGGUGUAGAAUGGAUGGGGGAUGUAUGGUGGUGUUUAAGAUGGAUGGGUGGUGCGGCAAGGGUUGAUUUUUGGCAGAAAUUUGGGAGAAUGGUGGUGGAAGGCUACGGCAAAGGUAUGGGAUGAGUUUCUGACGUGAAUGGUUGUGUAUGAGAGGUGGGGAAUUCGGCCAAGGGGUGAUUAUGAAUAUAUAUUGGCACAUAAAACCCUAGGUAAAUCAGAUAUGGACUUGGAUAACCCAAAUCCAUCAGGAAAUAGGCCUAGAAAUCAGAAUUAGAGAAGGAAAAAGUCCAAAGGUGCGGCAUGUAUGGAUAGGCUGAGAUAAGGCUUCUAGAAAGCCUUGCAAGGCAAGGAAAACAGAUUCUAACAAGGGCUAGGUGCGGCAUGGAUUUAGGAAAUAAGGAAAGGGCUUCUAGAAAGCCCAAAACCAAGAGGAAAUAAGCCCUAGCCCACGGCAAGGAUGAGGAAAUAUUCUAAAACCCUUCUUUGUGUCUUCCAACGCUUAGGAACCUUCUAAUGUUGCUGAAACUCAAGGCCAUCUAGGUUUAGGAAAGAUCAACCCAAAGUAGAAACUUUUAGGCUUAACUUUCCUACUUCAAGUAGGAAACCUUGUUUGAGUAGGAAUCUUCAUUCUUCUAGGAAUUCUUCUUCAAUUAGGAUUCCUUCUUGGACUAGGAAUCCUCAAAUCUUCAAAUCUUCAAUUUCUUCCAAACCUUUUGUUCCAAGCAUGUGCUAUUCACUCUAAGCUCACUUUUGCUCCAAAAAGCUCCAAAUUGCAUCUUUUUAUGUAAUAUGCCCUUAAAACCUGAAAACACCUGAAACUAGCUUAAAAGACUACUUAAACAAAGAAAACAUAACGAAAAUGCAUAAGAACUAGCUAACUGAUAGGAGCAUAUUUAUGCGCCUUAGUUAGUUAGUUCUUAUGCAUUUAUGUUGUGUUUUCUUAGUUAAUUUAGUCUUUUAAGCUAUUUUCAUGUGUUUUCAGGUUUUAAGGACAAAGUAAGCAAAAGGAUGCAAUUUGGAGCAUUUUGGAGCAAAAUUGAGCUAGAAUGGAGUUCUGCAUGUGGAGCACAAAGAAUGGACGAAUUUGAAGGAUUGAAGAGCUAGGAAUGUGUUUCAAAGUUGAAGACUUGAAGAUGCAAAGUUUCCUAAUUGAAGUGGGAAAGUGCUUAAUUGAAGAUGAAAUCCUAGUCAAACAUGGAUUCCUAGUUGAAGAAUGAUUCCUAAGUGAAGUUGGAUUCCUAGAAGAUUGAAGUUUCCUACUCAAACAAGGUUUCCUACUUGAAGAAGGGAAAUUAAAGCCAAAGAAUCAGCUCAAGUGAAGAAACCUUAUCCAAAACAUUAUCCAAACCCUAUCCUAUCCAAUCCUAUCCUAUCCAAUCCUAUCUUAUCUUAUCCUAAUCCUAAUCCACCUACAUUUCAGCUACUUGGGAGGAUUCCUAGCUAGAUUAGGAUGCUUAAAAUCAGAUUUCUAGAAACCUAAUCCUUUCCUACAAAAAAUGGCGCCUAGAACCUUUCUAGAAGACCUUGGCCUUGCAUUGCAAGUCAGCCACUUCCCCUCCACUUUGUGCCGUGAGUUUCACCCAAUUCCCUUUGGAUUUUGGUUUCUAGAAGCCCUUAUCCCUUCCUGGUUUGGUGCCGCACCUUAUCACCUCAUUCCCUUUGGAUUUCUGAUUUGUUUUCCUUCAAGGAUUGUGUUUUAUUUUCCUAUGCAACUUAGGCCUUUAAAUCCUUUUCCUUUGCUACCUAGGGGCUGGAUUUUCAGCCUAUAAAUACAACCCUUUGCCGCACCAUUUAGACACCACCCUCUACCAGAUUUUCACUACAUCAUUCACCCAAUCAUCCCUCUUGUGCCGUGAAUUUGCAAAGGAGAAGGAAGGAGACUCUUGCAGCCGUGCAUGCCAUUCAAGGAGCUUGGAUUGUUGGAGCGUUUCUAGGUGUUUUCUAUCUUUAUGUCAAUGUUUAGAUUUAUUUAUCUUUGUUUAUUUGCGAACAUGAGGAACUAAUUUCUUUAUAGUUAUAGGGGAAUUCAAAGCCAUGAUCAUAUGUUUUAUAUGACUUGAUUUCCUCCAGUUAUGAUUUCAUGAAUCGUGAAUGUGGUUUACUUAUCUAUUUGAUUGAUAACAUGUUUAUGUAUGUUAAUUAAGGAUGCAUACUUAGUUCUCAUGCAUGAAUUUGACGCUAGAGUAUAAGGGAAUUUCACCUAAUCGUUAUUAACUUAUAUUCAUAAGUAGUAAAAGUCGCUAGUCACGAUUGUGUUAAGUAAAUCCUUGCCAAGAGUAACAUGCGUAUUCCAUAAUUAUGAAUGUCUCGUCAAUGUUUAUGAUUUCCAUUGAACUUAAUGAUCUUUGAUAUGUGUCUCUAUCAUGCGUAUUCCAUAGUUAGGGUCCUUGAUAAGAAUAAUUUGGUUGUAAUGCGUAUUCCAUUCAAUUCAAUGAAUCUAGGGAAAUCUGAGAAUUAAUUGGUGCAAUCUAGUUAAUUUGGGACUUUGUCAUUCAUGGUUUGUUGAAAGAGUAACUGGAAAUCGAGUCGUAUGCAUAUGUUUCAUGUGUGGAGAAGGAACCCUCUAACUAGCCUUUCACCAUUCUUUUUCAUCCAAAAUCGUUUUCAUUAAGUUUGUUUUUAAAGUUUAUGUUUUAAAGUCCAAUUUCGUCAAAACCAAUCCCCUUACUUUUAAGUCUUGUUUUUAGAGUCAAAACUUGUUCUUUUAAGUCUUUUGAGUCUUUGAAAUUCUAUUUUCGUCCAAAUCACUUAUUAGGUCUAGAAUUGAGUCUUUUUGGUUGUUAUUUGCUGUUUUGAGUGUUUUGAGUUAGUUUUGAGUCUAUAAAGUCUAGUUUAGUGUUUUUGAGUCUUAUUUGUGUUGAUUAGCAUCCCUAGUUAAUCCCCGGUCUAGAACGAUCCCUACUUGCAUCAUUACUACAAUUGUCAUCAAUAGGGUUUAAUUUGUGUGUCAAGUUAAUUUUCACAUCACUAACUAAGGUGCAUAAAUAUGCUCCUAUCAAAUUUCCCCACACUUAGCUUUUGCUAGUCCUCGAGCAAAACAAAGAGACAAAAGAAAAACAAAAUGAAACAAACCAAACAAACAAAACCUAACCCUUCCAACGUUUGCCUCAGGGAUUUCCAAUGCACAUGACAUAUUAAAAAUCAUCAUUCCCACAGAUUAAGUCAUCUUCACACUUAAGCACAUACUUAUCAUAGUCACUACUUACUAGUUCACAUUUAACCAAUUAAAACAAUGUUUUGAAUGUAGUAACAUGCCUUAGAGAAUCCCUCAAUUCCUUACUAGAUAUGCACUCAAUUUUCACUCAGAUUUUCUGACUACACACCCUAUACUAGUUAUAUGUGAGAAGAUUGAUGUAGACAUAAAAACGAACGCUCACAUAUAUAUAUAACAAAGAAAGCAUUUUCUGGAGUUAAUAAGCAUUUAGAUAUGAUCUCAUGAAUGGAAUGCUACUACUUAGAUGCGAGAACGAGUGACACCAUAUGCUCAUACCAAUUCUAAACUCCACAAAUUGAAACGCACAACACUCAAGAUUAAAGUCAACGGUUGUAACGGGGCUUGGAGUAUUGGCUAACAAAGAACGGAUAGGGAUCACAAAGGUUCUUUAAGCAAUAGCAAGCAAGUCAAUGAAAUCGAAACUUAGAAUUCACUUUAAAGCGCAGAAAUCAACUUUUAAACACAAGGGAAGAUUCAUGCAAUACUUAGGGUCGAAUUCAAUGUUUUAGACCCUUUCUUCAACAAUCAACACUUAAGAACUCUUUUUUACAUCUUUUCAACUCUUUUUUUCAUACUUUUCACACUUUUCUUUUUUCUUUCUUUCUUUUCACGAAUUUUUCUUUUCUUUUCUUUCUACCCGUGCCUCAUUAAAGACUUUGGCACACACACAUAACAAAUCCUUUCCCCCACACUUGUUUUCUGCAUACAUUGAUAAAAAGGAAUUCAAUUGAGUCAUGCUUUACUAUGCUUCAAGAAAAAGGGUAUGGAUGGUCCUAAUCUGGGUUAGGUGAGGAUGAUAUGGGUUAACAAAGAACAUAGGCUACACAAGGCUCAACGGGGUUAAAACCUACAAAACAAAUGAACAUGGGGAACACGGCAAUUUGGCUUAAAUAGUGGUCACUACACAACUUCAUCUUGAAUAUGUGUUAUGCAAAUCAAUAACAUGCUUUAAAUGAAAUGGGCAUGAGUUCUAGUGUUUGGAACUAAAUGAUGAAACGCCUUCUAAGUAGCAACCAAGCAAAGAAUAAUGAGAUCAUGGAACGACUUUAGAAAACAACAAUGCACAUAUUAUUAACUCUUCAAAUAAACGUUUAGGCUCAAGUCUCACAAGGUUGUAGCGUUAGUUUGAGUUCCUUCCUUCAAGCAUGUUACAAAAACCAAUUUUUUUUUCUUUAUGAUUACAUGUGAAUUUAUAAGUUAUAACCACAACCAAGCACAAACCAAAGAGUAAAUCAAACUAUCAUCCAUGUUUACAACUCUCUUUAACAGUCAUGCAAUUAAAAACCGAAUCCUCAUCAUUGUGUUGGAAGGUACCCUAAGACACAAACAAACACACAAAACAACUUUAAAACGACUCUUUUUGGUGUUUUUCAAAACAUUUUUUCAAUUUUUUUCUGGGAUUUUCGGAUUUUUAUGUAAAACACACUAAAAUGCAUCAAAACAGCCUAAAAACACCUAAAAACAGCAAGGAACAACAUUGAAAGUUAUGGGUGAUAAACCCUACGAAUUUGCAUCAAAACACUUUGGUUACCCCCCCACACUUAAAUCAAACAUUGUCCUCAAUGUUUCAAGCAUAAACUAACACAAAUAACAAAUAAACAAACAAACAGCAACUAACAUAAUAAACAUGGCAGAAACGAAAUAAACAACAAAGAGAAAGGUUUAGGAACGCAAAUCUGGAAUUGGAGUGAUUCCUUGGCCUUCCUGAUGUGAAAAUUAUGUUGACACUCAAAUUAACCCUCUUUUUAUCAAUUGUAGCAAAGUAUGUAAGUAGGGAUC